rnacentral:rRNA from 1 species
AUACGAAGGGGGCUAGCGUUGUUCGGAUUUACUGGGCGUAAAGCGCACGUAGGCGGAUUGAUCAGUUAGGGGUGAAAUCCCGAGGCUCAACCUCGGAACUGCCUUUAAUACUGUCAGUCUAGAGACCGGAAGAGGUGAGUGGAACUCCUAGUGUAGAGGUGGAAUUCGUAGAUAUUAGGAAGAACACCAGUGGCGAAGGCGGCUCACUGGUCCGGUACUGACGCUGAGGUGCGAAAGCGUGGGGAGCAAACAGGAUUAGAAACCCUAGUAGUCC